GUAACUUCUUUUUCUAGUAUAACCACUGCAAAUCACAUCAUAUAUUACUUGUCUUAGAGCUCAAAUUGUUCUAAGAGAUGCAUGAGAAGUCUGGGCUUGGAAUGCGCUAACUAAAUGAUAUGCUUUAGCUAAAUUUUGGUUUUGUUAGCUGCAAUUUUUAAGUCAAAUGCAAAUUACAAAAUAAAACUUUUAGGUAAAAUGUCAAGUAAAAAGCAAGUUCAUUUAUAGGAAUUAUAACAUGUUUUGUUCCACAAAAUGCUGAGUUGAAAAUGUGUUCUUUUUGAAGCAUUUUUCAAGGGGUGCAGCUUAGGUUGUGGAAUUGUCAUUUUGCAAAUUGCAAAUUAAUCCUGCUUGAUUGUUGUUUUGCCGCAUCAUAUGAGACUGGCUGAUUGAAAUUUUUAGCAUGUAGUUAUUGGUAUUUAUCAAUUUGAUGGU
rnacentral:misc_RNA from 1 species